GGGUUGUGAGGUUAAGCGACUAAGCGUACACGGUGGAUGCCCUGGCAGUCAGAGGCGAUGAAGGACGUGCUAAUCUGCGAUAAGCGUCGGUAAGGUGAUAUGAACCGUUAUAACCGGCGAUUUCCGAAUGGGGAAACCCAGUGUGAUUCGACACACUAUCAUUAACUGAAUCCAUAGGUUAAUGAGGCGAACCGGGGGAACUGAAACAUCUAAGUACCCCGAGGAAAAGAAAUCAACCGAGAUUCCCCCAGUAGCGGCGAGCGAACGGGGAGCAGCCCAGAGCCUGAAUCAGUGUGUGUGUUAGUGGAAGCGUCUGGAAAGGCGCGCGAUACAGGGUGACAGCCCCGUACACAAAAAUGCACAUGCUGUGAGCUCGAUGAGUAGGGCGGGACACGUGGUAUCCUGUCUGAAUAUGGGGGGACCAUCCUCCAAGGCUAAAUACUCCUGACUGACCGAUAGUGAACCAGUACCGUGAGGGAAAGGCGAAAAGAACCCCGGCGAGGGGAGUGAAAAAGAACCUGAAACCGUGUACGUACAAGCAGUGGGAGCCUCUUUUAUGGGGUGACUGCGUACCUUUUGUAUAAUGGGUCAGCGACUUAUAUUCUGUAGCAAGGUUAACCGAAUAGGGGAGCCGAAGGGAAACCGAG
rnacentral:rRNA from 1 species